UACUUAGUAGCCUAAAACUAAGGCGCAGUGCUGAAGCCGCUGAGAUGAGUCAACACUCCAAGUACA
rnacentral:tRNA from 1 species